rnacentral:rRNA from 1 species
UGGCGGCGCGCUUACACAUGCAAGUCGCACGAGAAAGUGGAGCAAUCCAUGAGUACAGUGGCGUACGGGUGAGUAACACGUGGAUCAUCUACCUCUUGGUGGGGAAUAACCCUGGGAAACCGGGGCUAAUACCGCAUAAGCCUGCAAAGGGAAAGCAGCAAUGCGCCGAGAGAGGAGUCCGCGGCCGAUUAGCUUGUUGGUAGGGUAAUGGCCUACCAAGGCAAUGAUCGGUAGCCGGCCUGAGAGGGCACACGGCCACACUGGCACUGAAACACGGGCCAGACUCCUACGGGAGGCAGCAGUGGGGAAUCUUGCACAAUGGGGGAAACCCUGAUGCAGCGACGCCGCGUGAGCGAUGAAGCCCUUCGGGGUGUAAAGCUCUUUCGGCAGGAACGAUAAUGACGGUACCUGCAGAAGAAGCUGCGGCUAACUACGUGCCAGCAGCCGCGGUAAUACGUAGGCAGCAAGCGUUGUUCGGAAUUACUGGGCGUAAAGAGUGUGUAGGCGGUUCUCUAAGUUCCGUGUGAAAUCUCCCGGCUUAACUGGGAGGGUGCGCGGAAAACUGGAGGGCUGGAGUAUGGGAGAGGAAAGCGGAAUUCCUGGUGUAGCGGUGAAAUGC